rnacentral:rRNA from 1 species
CUCUCGGCAACGGAUAUCUAGGCUCUCGCAUCGAUGAAGAACGUAGCGAAAUGCGAUACUUGGUGUGAAUUGCAGAAUCCCGCGAAUCAUCGAGUUUUUGAACGCAAGUUGCACCCGAAGCCAUUCGGCCGAGGGCACGUCUGCCUGGGUGUCACGCAUCGUUG